AAAAAUUAUUUUUGUACAGGUUAUGUCUGAGAUAGAUAUGAACAACGCAAUGCAUACCAUAGAUAUCGAUGAUGAGUGUGGAUUUCAUAAUAGUCUUAUUCAAAAGCUAGAACAGAUUACAGAGGGAGACAACACACCAGUCACUGCUAAAAACUGCACUGUGUCAGUAUCGUCACAGACGAGCUCACUGAAGGUGUCAAAGAGAAGUAAAGGUAUUCAGACACGUGUUUUAAAAAAAGACCAAGCUUCACAGAUGAGACCCAGCUAUAGAAGUGUAGGCACUCAGUAUGAUCCUCCAAAGGAAGACGUAGAGCCAGAGUUUAAAACAAUGGAUUUUAUAAGUGACGAUUCAAGUUGCACUGGAACAACCCGUAGCUCAAGUUAUGAUCCUUCGUAUGAACCGGAUCAGCUGUCGUCUGAAAGCUCUUUGUCAACUCAUAAUAAUGUCAGCAGGGAAAUUGGAUCGGCGUUAAUGGAAAGAAAGUAUAUUGUUAGCGAGUCGUGUUUAAUGGAACUGUUUAUUUGCCGAAACUGUAGCUGUGUGUGUAAGACAAAAGUUGUUUGUGUGAUAGGGACCAUGGUGCGUGUUGAAGGUGUGUGUGAAUUGUGUGAAGAACGUUUUUUAUGGAACAGUCAGCACCGGGUAGGCUCCAUUCCAGCGGGGAAACCUUGCGUUAUCCUCCCGUAUUUUGUUUUCAGGUUCGCUUCCUUCAAAAGUAAUAAAGGCCUUCUCUAUUAUGAAUAUACCCCAUACAACCAUAGAAACCUACAUGACUCACCAGCGGACAAUAUUACAUCCAGCAAUAAAUUUAGAAUGGAAAGAAUUCCAAGCAGCAUACAUUGCCAGUGUUCGACUGAAUGAGAAAGGGAUAACGGUUGGAGGA